rnacentral:rRNA from 1 species
AGGACGAACGCUGGCGGCGUGCUUAACACAUGCAAGUCGAGCGGAAAGGCCCUUCGGGGUACUCGAGCGGCGAACGGGUGAGUAACACGUGAGCAAUCUGCCCUUAGCUUCGGGAUAGCUCCGGGAAACCGGAAUUAAUACCGAAUACGACCUCGGCCGACAUCGGCUUUGGUGGAAAGUUUUUCGGCUAGGGAUGAACUCGCGGCCUAUCAGCUUGUUGGUGGGGUAAUGGCCUACCAAGGCGACGACGGGUAGCCGGCCUGAGAGGGCGACCGGCCACACUGGGACUGAGACACGGCCCAGACUCCUACGGGAGGCAGCAGUGGGGAAUAUUGCGCAAUGGGCGAAAGCCUGACGCAGCGACGCCGCGUGGGGGAUGAAGGCCUUCGGGUUGUAAACCCCUUUCAGCAGGGACGAAGCGAAAGUGACGGUACCUGCAGAAGAAGCGCCGGCUAACUACGCGCCAGCAGCCGC